rnacentral:lncRNA from 1 species
ACUAACUCACCCCUUGUGGACGUGCGUUGUCCGACUAACUCACCCCUUGUGGACGUAUGUUGUAGCGUUGUCAGACUAACUCACCCCUUGUGGACGUUCGUUGUCUGACUAACUCACCCCUUGUGGACGUAUGUUGUAGCGUUGUCCGACUAACUCACCCCUUGUGGACGUAUGUUGUAGCGUUGUCCGACUAACUCACCCCUUGUGGCGUGGCGUUGUCCGACUAACUCACCCCUUGUGGACGUAUGUUGUAGCGUUGUCCGACUAACUCGCCCCUUGUGGACGUGCGUUGUCCGACUAACUCACCCCUUGUGGACGUAUGUUGG